rnacentral:rRNA from 1 species
CCUACGGGGAGCAGCAGUGAGGAAUAUUGGUCAAUGGACGGAAGUCUGAACCAGCCAUGCCGCGUGCAGGAAGACGGCUCUAUGAGUUGUAAACUGCUUUUGUACAAGGGUAAACCUGAAUACGUGUAUUCAGCUGAAAGUACUGUACGAAUAAGGAUCGGCUAACUCCGUGCCAGCAGCCGCGGUAAUACGGAGGAUCCAAGCGUUAUCCGGAUUUAUUGGGUUUAAAGGGUGCGUAGGCGGAUUGAUAAGUUAGAGGUGAAAUGUCCGAGCUUAACUCGGGAACUGCCUCUAAUACUGUUGGUCUAGAGAGUAGAUGCGGUAGGCGGAAUGUAUGGUGUAGCGGUGAAAUGCUUAGAGAUCAUACAGAACACCGAUUGCGAAGGCAGCUUACCAAUCUAUAUCUGACGUUGAGGCACGAAAGCGUGGGGAGCAAACAGGAUUAGAUACCCGAGUAGUC